rnacentral:rRNA from 1 species
AUUGAACGCUGGCGGCAUGCUUUACACAUGCAAGUCGAACGGUAACAGGUCUUCGGAUGCUGACGAGUGGCGCACGGGUGAGUAAUACAUCGGAACGUGCCUAGUAGUGGGGGAUAACUACUCGGAAGAGUAGCUAAUACCGCAUGAGAUCUACGGAUGAAAGCAUGGGACCUUCGGGCCUUGUGCUACUAGAGCGGCUGAUGGCGGAUUAGGUAGUUGGUGGGGUAAAGGCUUACCAAGCCUGCGAUCUGUAGCUGGUCUGAGAGGACGACCAGCCACACUGGGACUGAGACACGGCCCAGACUCCUACGGGAGGCAGCAGUGGGGAAUAUUGGACAAUGGGCGAAAGCCUGAUCCAGCAAUGCCGCGUGCAGGAUGAAGGCCCUCGGGUUGUAAACUGCUUUUGUACGGAACGAAAAGCAUGGGGCUAAUAUCCCCGGGUCAUGACGGUACCGUCAGAAUAAGCACCGGCUAACUACGUG